AGACUGUUGAAGCAUCAGCCCCCUGACAAAUUGACAGCAAUUUAUCAACUUAAGAAGCCAAUUUAACAGAAGAAACAACAAAGACAGAAUGAUAGAUAUGAUAUAUAUAACAGUACAUGAACAGCCAACAAAAGAAGAGCAACCACAUAUACGAUAAUGAAUAAAGAGGAGAAAGAAGAAAUCCAUAAUAAAAAAAUUUUAAGAACCAAGUAAUAAUUCUUUACCCUGAACUGCAUAUUUAUUUUCUUCAUUCAGAAUUUGUAAUAAGCCUAACCAGUAGCAGGCAGCCCAAAAUUCAAGUGGAACGGAAUACAAAAUCAACAAUGCGUUAGAUAUGCAUUUAUAAGCAAGUCCUUGCGAGGUGUGGGCCACAUGAUAAAGAAGUCAAGAGCAAUAAAGGUGGCAGCAACUAAUUUCGGCAACAAGCAGGACAGCAGGGAUAGCAGCUAAUUUACAGCAAUCUUCUUAAAUUGCAGAGCUAUUCUUAGAAGUCUCUUUAUUUUAUUUU
rnacentral:misc_RNA from 1 species